GCUUUCCUGACUAUAAAACAGGCUGUUCGUCUCUGCAUUCCAUUACAUGUUCCAACAACAAUAGUAAAUUCAUCUAUUGAGAAAAAUUUGAAAACCAGGAAGAAAUGCAGAAAUUAUUGUUCGUCCUGAUGUUCCUUGUAUUUACCUACCAGGUUGAAGGAUGGCUUUUUAGAGGGCGUAGUAGAAUUAGAAUAAGCACCGCCAAAAACUGUUUCUGUAAAGCUGUAGAUGCAGACACCCAUAAACUACUUCACGAUUUUGGAUCAAUCCAAGGUUGUCGCGGCUUGUUUAGGUGUAGUUGUCGACACACAAAUAUGGUAACAUGUGGUGACGCGUGUGAUAGAAGAGUUACCAAUUGGUUAAAAACCCAUGGAUGGACAUGUACAUUUGCUAGGACAGAAUACACAGCAAGCACAUGUGGAUCAGCAUAUGGCCAUCAUAGAAAGCAUUGUUAAGCCAAUAAUACAGCAUUCGACAAGGUGAAUUUGGAUUGUUUAAUUAAUAAACAACAUCAA